UUGUACGCGAAGAACCUUACCAAGGUUUGACAUCACCGGAAAACUCGCAGAGAUGCGGGGUCCUUUUGGGCCGGUGACAGGUGGUGUCAUGGCUGUCGUCAGCUCGUGUCGUGAGAUGUUGGGUUAAGUCCCGCAACGAGCGCAACCCUCGUUCCAUGUUGCCAGCACGUAAUGGUGGGGACUCAUGGGAGACUGCCGGGGUCAACUCGGAGGAAGGUGGGGAUGACGUCAAGUCAUCAUGCCCCUUAUGUCUUGGGCUGCAAACAUGCUACAAUGGCCGGUACAAAGGGCUGCGAAACCGUGAGGUGGAGCGAAUCCCGGAAAGCCGGUCUCAGUUCGGAUUGGGGUCUGCAAAUCGACCCCAUGAAGUCGGAGUCGCGAAUAAUCGCAGAUCAGCAACGCUGCGGUGAAUACGUUCCCGGGUCUUGUACACACGCAA
rnacentral:rRNA from 1 species